rnacentral:lncRNA from 10 species
AGAGGACUCGUCAGCUUCAUCAGUAGAGAGCUUCUAUUUCCUAGAGCCAGUAAGCUUUGGAUAAAGAUCCAGAAUAUGGACGACAUCAGUAAUAGCUCUGAUAGAUCACCUCACAGCCUUACCUCAUGUUCCGCCCUUAACUGUCAAUAACAGCAAGUGUUAGAACAGGUAAGUUUACUGUGCUGGUUUCCUGUGGAGGGUGGGA